UUCUAUCUCAGAGGAGUGACACUGAGAACACAAGAUUGAUUAAUCAUAUAAUGUAUUUGGUUGUUACUAGUUGAUUUUGUGUUCUCAGGUCACCCCUUUGAGUCAACC
rnacentral:pre_miRNA from 14 species